rnacentral:rRNA from 1 species
UACAGAGGGGGCAAGCGUUGUUCGGAAUUACUGGGCGUAAAGGGCGCGUAGGCGGCCUUCUAAGUCGAACGUGAAAUCCCCGGGCUCAACCCGGGAACUGCGUCCGAUACUGGAAGGCUUGAAUCCGGGAGAGGGAUGCGGAAUUCCAGGUGUAGCGGUGAAAUGCGUAGAUAUCAGGAAGAACACCCGUGGCGAAGGCGGCUCUCUGGAACGCAACUGACGCUGAGACGCGAAAGCGUGGGGAGCAAACAGG